AACGAACGCUGGCGGCAUGCCUAACACAUGCAAGUCGAACGAGACCUUCGGGUCUAGUGGCGCACGGGUGCGUACCGCGUGGGAACCUGCCCUUAGGUUCGGAAUAACUCCCCGAAAGGGGUGCUAAUACCGGAUAAUGUCUUCGGACCAAAGAUUUAUCGCCUUUGGAUGGGCCCGCGUUGGAUUAGCGAGUUGGUAGGGUAAAAGCCUACCAAGGCGACGAUCCAUAGCUGGUCUGAGAGGAUGAUCAGCCACACUGGGACUGAGACACGGCCCAGACUCCUACGGGAGGCAGCAGUGGGGAAUAUUGGACAAUGGACGAAAGCCUGAUCCAGCAAUGCCGCGUGAGUGAUGAAGGCCUUAGGGUUGUAAAGCUCUUUUACCCGGGAUGAUAAUGACAGUACCGGGAGAAUAAGCUCCGGCUAACUCCGUG
rnacentral:rRNA from 1 species